rnacentral:lncRNA from 1 species
UUCACAACUUGCUCCUGACAGGGGUGCUCCUGCUGAUGUUGAGCCAACUCAUUCCACCUGUGCUGCUGACACCAGGAUUCCUGCUGACAUAGAACCAAGUCCUUCACAAUGUGCUCCUGACAGUCCUGCUCCUUCUGAUAUUGGUGAGGAACCCAGUCCUGUUGCUGACCUAGAUGAAGAUAUAGCUGAGGAUUUUUAUGACGCUUUAGAGUCAGCUGAUCUCACUGGCCAUAGCGGGUCCACUGUCCAGGUACCUGGUUUUCUUUGGGAACCAGAUAUGCUACUGCUGCCAGUAAUGCCCUUGAUGUGGUUUCUUACAUUCCUGUUAUCAAUGAUGAUGUGGAUUAGAAAUGGAAUUCGCAAGUGUGCUAUGAAGAAAAUGGCCAAGGACCUCCCUCCAAGAGAAAAGAUAAACCCGAUGCCGCUGGAGCUGAACACUCCAACACACACUGAUAUAUGCACACAGAGUGUGUGAGGAGGAAGUAUAUUAUAUAUAUGUAAAUAUAAAAAUUUUAUAUAUAAAUAAAAUGUUUUAUCUGAUAGAAGACUGAAGUCAAAAA